rnacentral:rRNA from 1 species
UAUGUGAUCGUCUCUGUGCAUAUCAAUAAGCGGAGGAAAAGAGACUAACAAGGAUUCCCCUAGUAACGGCGAGUGAAGCGGGAAGAGCUCAAAUUUGAAAUCUUAAAGGGUUUCCCUUUACGAAUUGUAGUUUAAAGAAGUGUUUUCUGUUGAGGUUUUGGUAAAAGUUCUUUGGAAUAGGACAUCAUAGAGGGUGAGAAUCCCGUAUUUGACCUUUACUUUCAACUUUGUGAUACACUUUCAAAGAGUCGGAUUGUUUGGGAAUGCAGUCUAAAAUGGGUGGUAAAUUUCAUCUAAAGCUAAAUAUUGGCGAGAGACCGAUAGCGAACAAGUACCGUGAGGGAAAGAUGAAAAGAACUUUGAAAAGAGAGUUAAACAGUACGUGAAAUUGUCAAAAGGGAAGCGUUUGACACCAGUGUUGUUUUUCUGAAAAUCAAUUAAAGAACUGUUUAUGCUAAGUUGUUUAGACUUUAUCAGCUAUCUGUUUAGUUUUGAGCUUUUCUUUAAUGCACUUUUCAGUUAACAAGUCAACAUCAAUUUCUUUUGCUGUAAAAAAGCUUGAGGAAGGUGGCUUGAGAUUCGUCUUAAGUGUUUAUAGCCUCUUGCCUAUGCAGUCGGAGAGAUUGAGGUCUGCAGCGUAGAUCCUUCGGGGCUAAAUGCAUUUGUGCUAAGUUAUAGCAUUCUAUAGACAACUUGUUGACUAUGAUUUGUCUUGUAGCUUACUCGCUUAUGUUAUUUUACCUACGCUUAGGAUGUUGAUCUACAGAGCGAGAGU